rnacentral:rRNA from 1 species
GAUGAACGCUGGCGGUAUGCUUAACACAUGCAAGUCGAACGGUACCUUCGGGUAUAGUGGCGGACGGGUGAGUAACGCGUGAGAAUCUGUCUUCAGGUCGGGGACAACAGUUAGAAAUGACUGCUAAUACCGGAUAUGCCUAUGGGUGAAAGAUUUAUUGCCUGAAAAAGAGCUCGCGUCAGAUUAGCUAGUAGGUGGUGUAAGAGACUACCUAGGCGACGAUCUGCAGCUGGUCUGAGAGGACGAUCAGCCACACUGGAACUGAGACACGGUCCAGACUCCUACGGGAGGCAGCAGUGGGGAAUUUUCCGCAAUGGGCGAAAGCCUGACGGAGCAAUACCGCGUGAGGGACGAAGGCCUUUGGGUCGUAAACCUCUUUUCUCAAGGAAGAUAAUGACGGUACUUGAGGAAUAAGCAUCGGCUAACUCUGUGCCAGCAGCCGCGGUAAU